rnacentral:tRNA from 1 species
AGAGAAUAAUGAAAUGUUGGCUGCUAACCUUCAUUGUUGCUUAUAGCCUUUCUCUA